GCCGACGCUCGGCGUCCCUGAAGGAGGGCGGAAUGGAGAAGCGGGGCCGGGGCGCGGCGGCGCCCUCGAACCUGGCACCUCAGCAGCCAUCCGCGGGGCCUCGGAAAGAGAGGAGGCCUAGCAUGUUCGAGAAGGAGGCAGUGAGUGCGGCGGCGGCUCCGUCGGGCGCUCCCUGUCGCCGAAGCCCGUGUCCACUGGCCGGGGGAGCAGGGCUCUUCCGGAGGCGACCCGAGCCCGAGCGUGGGCCGGAGCGCUGCGAUUGUUGUGGUUCAGACCUUGGAGCAAGGGCUACGUUCACCGAUGGGGAGAGCUUUUGCGAGAGCUUCAGCUCUCUUCACUUGCUCAGCUUGCAGAUUUCCUAAGAGUAGCAUAAGAGGUUACUGCAUAAUUUUAGUAUAUUUAGUGCCGUCCAACAAACCAGAGGCAGUUUUACCAGCCACAGAUGAGCGUAUGUGUGCUGUAUUAAAAAAGGGAAAAUAUCUGAUCUACUAAGCAGAAUAAUGAGAUAUUUUCAGAUUUUAAAAACAGCAGCAGACUCAGUAGUUGAAGAAUAUAGAGGGGGAAAAAUGUGGCGCUUAUGUCCACUAACGUCUAAAAUUGAAAAUGUCAUUCGAUUUUAUUGGUGGUAUUACACCAGGAUUUCUAUAGUCUGAAACUAUUGUAAUCAAAAUUCCCAUCUUUUAUUGAGACAGGAAAAAAAGAAUUAUUCCAAGGAUACAAAAUUGUAAUGAUAGAGCUGAGACUAGAUACUGUGUUGUGGUCCACUUAUAAUGGUUUCUUUUCACACCUACUUGAUGGGACCCAUAAUUGAUAGAAUGAAGGAGAGAGAACAGGCAAAACACUCAUUUUGAAGAUCCUAAAACAUUUCAAACAAAAAGAAUUCUCAAAAUAGUCAUAGCAACAUUUCAGGUUCUAAUAACGGCUCUUUGGUGUCUGCGUUUUACAGAAGAAAGAACAAACUAAGGGAAAAAAUAGGCAAAGUUUACUCAAGAAGAAAAAGCAAGGCUAGGAACCUUACUCUAUUGGACUUUAAAUUUUAUGCUCCCAGAAACUGCUGUAUUCCUGGAAAUAAUUCUGAGUAACAGGUUGCCUGGAGUUUAAAAAAAAAUCUAUUUUGAGGCAGACAAAGGUGUCUUUUAUAAACUUACCGCAUACAAAAGAUCUGAAGUGGUCUUGAAAAGUAGGUAAGCCUGAAUCCAAAGGGAGAUGCAUAGGUAUGCUUGGUAUAUAGGCUAAAAUCUAGGACUAAAGGGUCAUGGACCAAGGCAGUUCUUGCCGAUUUGAUAUGGUUGGGAUCAAUACAGCUGUCUUUAAAAUUUAGCUUCCAGAGGUAAAAAAUUUAAAUAGACCAAUUACUGGAAAGAGACCGAGAAAGGAUUCUGCAAAUGCUCAUUAUAUGUACCUGAGGACGAUGAGUGUGCUAAUGAGUCAUGUCUAACUUUCAGGUAACUGAUAAUUCCCAUGUUCCUGAGCAUAGGAAAAAUCAGGACACAGAAUUUAAUCAGUAUAAACAUCUUUUAAUUUUCUGGCAUCCAUUUUUUUUUUCUAGUAUCUCAAUUUUCCUUUGUAGAAUUAACUAAUUUCCUAAUGGAUAUAGUUUUGGUGGGACUGUCAGUCAAUUUCCUUAACUUUGCGGUGAAGAUAAGACCAAAACUAGGCUAAUUAGAUGAACCGUUUCUGGAAUAAUGCAAGGAAAUGGUUAAGAUUAAUUCAAAAUAAGGAUGGCAUGCUGAAAUGCCUCAUUGUCUAGUAAUUUAACUUUCUCUUUUAUUCUGUGGAAUAUCUUUCCAAUUACAUUUUUGCUUAACAAGGAGUUAGUUCUUAUUGCUUGCAACCAAAGAUCCCAAAACUUUAGAUUAUCAAAAAUUGAAAACUUGAUUAGUCUCACUUGAAUACAUAUAUUUGAAAAUCAUAAAUCCUAGCAAAUAGCAUUUAGAAAUACAUUAAUGUAAUGGCAUCUUAUGAUCAAGCUUAGUUUGUUCUAGGAUGAUAAUUAGGCUCAGUGUAAGGAAAUGGGUUAAAUAAUUAAAUUCAGGUGUUUUUAGUAGCUGCAAAAAUUGAUUAUAUUUUAAAUCUAUUCCUAAUUUUAGAAGUGAUUACUAAGAUUUUCCCUUAAUAAAAGGGUAAAAUGCUCUUAGAAUACUAAAUUAAGCCAAUAAGAUAUAAGGAAAAAAUGGUAAGAGACGUGAGUUUUCAGCGUAUUGGAAUCUCUAAGUGUCAUUUUCUAACCAUGCGUGCAUGCUCUUUCUCCAAGAGAAUCAUUGCAUUUGGGAGUUGUAUCCCUUAAAUAUGUUGGAAAAGGAGAUGGCAAUUGACCCUGGAGACAAGCAUUCUCUUAAUAAUUUUUAAAAAAAAGGGUUUUGUUUUUUAAGUGGUUUAGGGAGUUGACAAUGCCUCUCUUCCCCAGCUAAAACUUAAAGCAAUCUGAUAGAUGAUCAAAACAGCAAAUUUGUUUCUGAUGAGGGACUUCUUCUGUCAGCCAACAUGGAAUAACUCCUAUGAGAAGCUACUGAAAAUAACAAAAUAUAUGAAGCAGUUGUUUCCAUUGGUUGGAUAUAAGGCAGGACAGGGUAGUUUUCUCUGAGGGAGGAGAAAUAGGAAAGGUAAGCCCCAAGAUUCCCUUUAACUUACUGAGGAAUCCCAGCCCACAUCUUAUGGAGAGGUCUCCCUUAGUUCAGAAGCAUUUGCGAGCCAGGGUAGGUCACAGUGGCAUGAGUCUGCAGAAUACAGUAUUAAGAGACAGCUGUAGAAAUAGCUCCAGAUAUCUGCAGAGGAUUUUCCUCAAAUUUCCAGCAUAGUGAACUAGUACAUCUGGUGUGAAAACUACCUGUGGCCAAAAAAAGAACCACCCAAAAGGAGCAGAAAAAGGAAACCUCUGACUCACACAAAUAAGUUUGUGUUCCCGCCAGUAAGAGUGGAAAGCCAUGUAAAUCAUUGGGCAUUGGUUACAGUGCUAAGUGUAUUAUCUCAGUAGUGGGGGGUGGAGGUGGGGGAGGAGUAGCCCUAGACUUAAAGAUUUCUCUAGUCUGGCCUAUCAAAGCUUAAAAGCAAGCCUCAAGAAGGUAGUAACUGUUUCCAAGUUACUACCUUCUAGAAGAAAGCUCAAGAAUGCUUAUGGGAUUUCAAAAAUAUACAACAAAUAAGGUGAAAUUCACAAUGUCUGGUGUCCAACUAAAUACUAGCAGACCUAUAGAAAAGCAGGAAAAUACAACCAAGAAACAAUAAAUACGCCCAGAAAUGAUGCAAAGGUAGAAUUACUAUAAAAAGACACAAAAGUAAUUAUUAUAAAAUAGUUAUUGUAUUAAAUUAGUUUUUAUUAAAUUAAAGCACCUAAGUAAUUAAAUUAUAAAACAUUAUUACAAUCUAUAUGUUCAAGCAUGUAGAGAAAAGAUCGAUCAUUUUAAAUCCAAACUGCUACAGAUGAAAAAUAUGAUGUCAGAGAUGUAAAAUACACUGAAUGGCAUUAACAGCAGAUUGGACUGCAAAACAAAGGAUUAGUGAACUCAUAGACAGCAAUAAGAAAACCUGAGGAAAAAAUAUUAGGAGACAUCAACGAGCUACGGGGAAAUUUCAGGCAAAAAUUUUCAGUCCCCAAGUGAAGAGAGGAAACUGGAAAGUCAAAAAAUAUUUGAAGAAUUAAUGAGAAAUUUCUAAAUUUGAAGAAGCUCGAUGAACUUCAAGCAAAAGAAAGAAAAUUAUGCUGAGACAUGCAGUAAUUGCUUAAAAUCAGUGACAUAAAACUAGAAAAUCAACUAGGAAAAAAAAAUAGAAAGGAACAAAGAAGAAAUGACAGCAGACCUUUCAGAAAGAAUGCAAGCCAAACAAGACAUCUUUAAAUUUCUGAAAGAUGCUUGAGGAAAAAAACACCAACCUAGAAUUCUAUACUCAGUGAAGAUAAUCUUUCAAAAAACAAAGAGAAAAUGAGUUUUUCAGACAUAUGAAAGCUAAAAGAAUUCCUUACCAACAGACCCACACUAUCAGAAAUGUUAAAGGAAGGCUUUCAAGAGGAAUAGCAUAGGAGAUGUAAAUCUAGACAAAGAAUAGAAAGCAGUGUGUGAGUGGUAAAUACGUUGAUAAGUGUACAGAUUUUUCUUAUUUUUAAAUUUAUUUUAAGAUAAAUUACUGAUGAAAUCCAAAGUAAUAACGUAUUGUUGAGUUUAUAGCACAAAGACCAGAGGUGGGGGGAGGGGGAGGAAGUAUACCAUUGCAAAGCACUCAUGCUAUAUAUGAAGUCAUUUAAUAUGAUUUGAAGGUUAACUGUUAAGUUAAAGAUAUAUACUAUUAACCCUAAAACCACUACAGGAAAAGAAUAAAGCUAAUAGGUUAACAAAUGACAUGAGAUGGAGUCAUUAAAAAUAAUUCAAAAGCACAAAAAAUACAAGGAACAAAGAACAGGACAAAUAGGAAAACAAGAAAUAUGGGUUUAAACAAAUGUCAACCCCAUUAAAUGCAAAUGUUAUAAACAUCCCAAUUAAAAUUCAGAGAUUAAUGGACUGGUUAUAAAAACAAAAUGAAACGAUAAACUGUCUACAAGAAAUUUUACUAUAAAGGCACAGAUUGGAUAUAAUGAAAAAGAUGAAAAAAGAUACAAUGUGAAUACUAAUCAAAAAUGCUGGAGUGCCUAUAUUUAAUAUCGGAGAAAAUACAUUUCUAAAGAGAAUUAUGAGAGAUGAAGAGGAUCAUUUUAUGAUAUUAAGUCAGUUUAUCAGAAAGACAUAACCUAAAAUCAGAGCUUUGAAAAACAGGAAGCAGAAGGACAUACAUUGUUUGCUGAAAUACAUAAUUGCAGUUGUGAAUUUCAGCACACAUCUCUCAAUAAUUCAUAGAACAAGCAAACCAACUAGUAAGGAUAUAAAAGAUGAAUAAUCAAAUUUGAACUACUGGACUUCUAUAGAAUACUUCAUGCAAUGACAGUUGAAUAAAUGUUCCUUAGAAGUGCAGAUGAAACAUGACUAAGAUACAAGUCUUGGGACGUAAAACGGGUUCCAAUGACUUUAAACAGAUUCAGAUCAUACAAAGUAUAUUCUCAUCACGAUGGAAUAAUUUAGAAAUCAACAAAAAAAUGAAUGAAAAAUUGCAAAUUGAUAAAUGACAGACUUCUAAAUAACCCAUAGGUAAAAGAAGAAGAAAACACUUUGAAUAAAAAUUUAAAAAAACAUUUCAAAAAUUGUUGAAUAUAGUUAAAGCAGUAUGCGGGAGAAAUUUAUAGCCCUAAAUAGCUAUAUUAGAAAGAUUUCAAAUCUAUAUUUCAACUAUCAGCUCAAAUUAGAAAAAGAGCAAAUUAAACUCACAGUAAGCAAAAGAAGAGAGGUAAUAAAAACGGGUAGAAAUUAAUGAAAUAGUAAACAAAAACAAAAUUAAUGAAAUCAAAGAUGAUAGUUUGGAAAGAAUAAAGUUGGCAAACCUCCAGCCCAGAGGCUGGCAAGUGCAUUCUGUGGGUCAAAUCUGGUUGGCAGCCUAUGGUCUAAGAAUGGUGUGUGUGUUUGUAAAAGGUUACCUGGAAUAGUGAGAGAUGGGGGAGGAAGAGAGGGGAAGUGACAAAGACCAUAUUUUGCCCACAACGCCUAAAAUAUUUAAAAAACAAAAAGUGCCAACUCUUGUUCAAGCUGGACUAAUCAAGUCAAAAGAGACAAUAGCACAAUGAAAUGUACAAAUUUCUUGAAAGACACUUACGGGCUGAAUUGUGUGCCCCUAGAAUUUGUAUGUUGAAACCCUAACCCCCAAUACCUCAAUGUGAGUGUAUGUGGAGAUGGUUAGGUUUAAAUGAGUCUGUUAAGGAGGGCCCUAAUCCAGUCUGACAGUGUCUUCAUAAGAGGAUAUUAGGACACAGGCACGCCAGGGCCAAACAUGCCCAGCAGGAUGAUUCUCCUCAAGUUUAAUGUGAAGAGGCAGCAAGAAUGUGGCCAUCUGCAAGCAAGGGGCCUCCAGAGAAACCUGCUCUUAGCAUCUUGGUCUUAGACUUCAGCCUCCAGAACUUAUGCACAGAUUUUAAGAGAAAGACUGAGGGAAUCAAUUCAUGAUGUUCAGUAUGUGGAGCCUCCAUUUGACGAUUCAAUUGCCGAUAUAGGUAAAGAGUGGAAGAGUGCCCUGGCAAAACUACGAUUUGCUAACUCAUACAGAAUGGAGCCAUUGAAAAAGUUCCAAGCUUAUUCAGUAGAAGCUAAAGUCCAGCAGCUCCUAAAGGUAGGGUGAUAGGUAUAUAUGAUAGCAAUAUCUUAGCUGUUGGUGCUUGAUACGCUAUAUUCAGAUUUAUGGCAGUAUAAUUGCCCUGAUUGAUUUUUUAUAGCAUUUAUCUCAAAGUAUGAAAGUACUCUGCAGUCCUGCCAAGUCCUCACAUCGAUGCCAUGAGCCAGGUUCAAGGGAACCUCCUUCCAUUAUUUCAUUCAUUUUUUCAUUAUCCAUAAAUUAUCUCUCGGUUUCCGUGUUCCUCCCAUAAUUGGAGGAAUGAAUAAAAAAAGAACAUGUUGACUAUGUAUAUAUGUGUGAAAAAUUGGUUCCUGCCUAUGCUGAAACAUCUUAAGAAUAGGCAAUCCCUAGUUUAGACUUAGGUUGUUUUCUUUUAACAGACUGAGAUGUAAAGUUUAUUCGAGACAGACAUAUGUUUCCAGGCUCGUUCAAAAAAGUUUCUUCGAUUUCCUAAAACUGAUGCUUUAAUACUAACGCAGAGUCAUGUGUACUAGUGGCGCCAUCUGAAGGCUGCGUUGUCCUGAUGGAAGGGAUGCCCUUCACCAUCUUUCCUGAUAAAGGACCGAGUUACAGCUUUUUUACUUACAGAAAGUGUGUCGAGGGACCACUUUUUCUGAAUCCGUUUUUCACCUUUGGUCCUAGUUCUGGACCCCAGGCACCCGGGAGUUUUCUGUGACCGGAUCCCCUUUGCGGCACUCCCCCAAGCCGAAUCCUACCCCAGAGGCGUUCCUUGUUUUAAAAUUACCGCCCACCCUCCAGCUUACAAGAUGCAUUUCUUCAGUAACAACUGAUGUGAGCUGGCUAUUGGGAAGCAAGCAAAUGUUUAAUUUAUUUUGUAAAAAUAAUUAAUACCCCUUUAAUUCUUUAAAUGAAUUCACCUUUAUUAAUAUAGAAGAAUAGUUAAGCAACUUACUCUCCAACCUCCCUCCACUAUCACAGAUAUAGGUGCAUUUUUAAACCGAACUGUCAGAUGAUAUGGCUUGUGGCUACAGGAAAUAAGUUAAUUGAACUCAAUGUAAUAAAAUAAUAAUUGAUUCCCUUCUUCUCAGUUCUGAAUAUUAAUAGGAAGCAUUUGUGAUGUGAGGGCAUACAGUUGUCUGUGAGGGCAUCAUGUGUCUCUCACUCAGCCCUAUCACAUAAACUGCGUUCAAAUUUAUUGAAAAUAGUAGGAUUUCAAAUUGUAUUUACAUAUGAUAAUUUAUAGAAUUUCAUUGAGCACGAUGGGCCUGGAACAGUUUAUUGGAUAUGUAGGCGGAUGCUAGGGGUCUUCAAGAAACCAAAGAUUUCCUCGGGUUCGAGGAGCACCGAGCACAGUUCUGGGCACAAACAGUAUGUACUGGUGGAGCUCAUGGCACCGUCCUGUGGGAAGUGCUCACGGUUCAUUGAAAAAGGGCCCUUAGGUAGCUAAAGCUUGGGGCGUGGUGGGCAGAUUCAGAGGAGAGAAUGCAUGUGAGUGUCCAAGAGAAAGAGCCACAGCCAAAGGCCUGAGGGAAAUAAAUACUUCUAGACCUCGUUUUAGAUCCAGAAGCAUUCUAGAAGGAACCAAAACAGCAACAAGAGAGCCAUUUCUUUGGUUUUACAGGCCUAUAAAAUAGCUGGCAGGAGCCCAAAUAUUUGUUGCCACCGGAACCCAGAUAGUUGGUUACUUUAGCGUUGGCCCAAGUCAUUUAAUCAAAAGCAUGUGCCAUCUGCUCGCUGGAUGGUCCAGGUCUGCUGAUGGUUUGCAUGAGGACCCCCCAAACCUGGACUGCAGACCAAUGCCAGUCAGUGGCCUGUCAGGAACCAGGCCGCACAGCAGGAGGUGAGAGGUGGGCAAGUUCACGAAGCUUCAUCUGUAUUUGCAGCCGCUCCCCAGCGCUGGCAUCAUCACCUCAGUUCCGCCUGAGAGUAUCAGGCAUUAGAUGCUCACAGGAGCACUGGUCCUCUGGUGCCACAAAGGUUGGGGACCCCUGGUUUGCAGGAAAGUAUAGUGCUUUACGGCCCACACCUAUCUCCCCGCAUCUGUACACUAAUUCAUUAACAAAGGUGAUGAAAAUUUUUGAUUUCCUUGGCAUUAUCCUGGAGGCCACAGAAAAAAGCAAUCAGGUGGAAAGCCAUGGGGAGAGCUGAGGAAGACGGGUCCAUGAUGCAUGCUCUGCGUUCAAGUAACCCUUGCUUUAGGAAAACCCAAAUCUGAAUUUUAGCAAAUAUACAGAUUUUAAAAAGAUUUCUUUCUCCUACAUAAGGAUUCUAAGAAGCUUUCUUUUAAAAUUCCCCUGUCUCCCUAAAAACUGUUCGAUAGAACAACCUAAUAAAAGGAGACUUACAACUUAAAGGUUGCUAAUGAAGAGUCACUGAACAUAAUUUAAAAUCCAAAAUAAGCUUUCUUUCAAAUUGUUAUUGAAAUAAAUUGGUAAGCAUUACAUUUGUUUAAUAUUAUUUGGUUGGGAACAUGUAUUUUUUUUUUAAAGUUAUAUGUAUUAUUUCGACACAUUUUCUACUUGAAUUUUUAGAAAAUAUUUGGUUUUAAAAUUAAAAAUUUUUUUUUUAAAGGAAAGUCUUAAAGAUGUCAAAUAUGACGAUAAAGCCUUCUCUCAUUUGUCGCUUGAAUUAGCAGACCGAAUAUUGAUAGUGGUCAAAGAAUUUGGGUACUACCGUUAUAAGUUUAUUAUAAAAGUAUUAUUUAUUCAAAAGGCUGGUCAGGCAAUAAAUGUAAGUACCCCCAUUGAUCUAGCAUCUAUCAAUUAGAACUAUAAGGUCUCUCCUCUCUAGUGAUUUGAUAUUUAUUGGCAUAUCUCCAAGGCAUUGCAAGAUCUUGUGCUUGUGGAAUGAAAUGAUAAUUUUGUUAAGAAUAUGUUCUUUCACUGUAUGUUAUUUGAAAAGUACUAACUUAUAAAUGACAUUUUUCUAUUGAUAACUUAUUAAAUUGUAUAGCUAGCUUCCUUGAUCGUACCAGUUUUGACAAUUUAAUGUCAUUUAAUAAUUAACCAGUAAAUUCAUUUUAGGCAGUAAUGGGUGUCAGGUGCUGGGGAAAUUACGAAGAAUUAUAAGACAUGGGCCAUGAUUCUCAAGGAGUUUUUACUCUAGUUGAGAAAAUAAAGCGACUCAGUUUAGAGUUUAAGAAAAUAAAAUAAUUUGGGUAGUGUAACAGCUUAGGUCUGAGAGUCCAGUUGGCCUAGAUAUGAAUCCUGGCAGCAACACUCAUGCUGUGGCCUGCGCAGGGUUUUUUUAAUCUAUAAAAUGGGGAAGAUAAAACCUCUUGCUAGAGUUGUUGUGAGUAACUAAAUGAGAUUAUCUGCAUUAAAAUCCUUAACAUAGUCUCAAGCACAAGAGUCCUCAAUAAACAGCGAGAUUAUUGUUAUUAUUUACAAAUAAAGAUGCAAAACCACUAGGCUGUGUAAGUUUCUAGUGAGCUGAGAGUGAAUCUGUGGAGCGGGGCACACUCUGCAGGCGUGGAGGAGUGAACUGUGUGUGGAAGCGUGGAGAGGAGGAGGUAGACGGGCAGACAGGUGACUCGCAGGGAGGAGAGAAUUGCCACAGGUACUGUGCGUGCACCUGAGUAAUGCGGAAGGCCCUUCUAGAUGGUGAUCAGGGCUCUGGCGAGAGCAUUAAGGCAGGGCCAGGUGGUAAGAGUGACCAAGUUGGAUUGUCUAGGGGUAGGGAAGGCCCUCUGACAGCUGAAGGGCAAGAAGAAAUGAGCUGUGCCGAAGAUCAGAGGGAACGCCUAAGCAGAACACGGAGGGCAGAGAUGCUGACGCGGGGUGGACUUGCUGUGCUCCAUUAACACCCGGGGCUUUUUUACGUGGGGGUCUCCUCGGCAUUUUUUUCCACGGAGGCGAGAGCAGACGCCUCUCUAGGGCCUGGCUUGGAAGUUGCACAGUGUCACAUUCUUUUGCUCGAAGCAAGUCCCGGUGCCAACUGAUAUUCAAGGGGUGGAAAAUAGACUCAGCCUCUCGAUGGGAGAAGCCAUAAGUGAUCUGUGACCGUUUUAGAUGCGCCACAGAAAAGCAGGCUGUAGCCAGAUCAUGUGUGGCUUCAUAAGCGAAGCGCAGGAGUUAGGACUUUGUCUUAACAGCCUCCUGUAUGAUCAGUGCCAUGUCUUCAUUUCAAGACACGGUCCUAACAAACUUGUGGUUGAAAAUCUUUUAAGGGUGGGAAGAGUAACUGACUCCUUGCGAUGGACUGUAACGCAGCAGAGUAGCGUUGCAUGCAGAACUGCUGGGUGCAAGUUCCAGGGGGCCUCCCGUCCCCUCCCCACCUCUCUGCCAAGGUGGGGGUGUUAGAGGACCUCCAGCUGGCAGAAGAGAAGCCAGACCCAGGAAGCAUCACUGUUAAGUCUUUUCAGGAAAGGGGAAACUGGACAGAGCGUUUUGUAAUUAUGACUUCCUAAGAUACUGAUACAUCUUUUAAAAAAAAUCACACGCGUAGAUCUUUAAAUUCUUAAUAUGUUCAACCUAAAGUUGAUCUUUUUAAAAUUCCUUGUAGGUUGCCAGCCGAUGGAUCUGGGAUGUUGCGUGGGACAGCUGGGUCGCAGCCAAACACGAGACGGAGACUUACGUGGCCUUGGCCUUGGUAUUUGCUCUGUAUUGUGAAUAGUUUGUUACAUGGAGUAAAGAGUGUUUGCUUCUCAACUUUCCAAAAACACAUGAAAUUUAUAGAUUUGCAAACCUCACAGUAGUUUUAAUUAGCUAUAUUUUUAUCUUUAAUCGAAGCUUGAUAACUUAUUUUAACAACGAAUAAAAGCUGGAUUUCUACCU